rnacentral:rRNA from 1 species
CCUACGGGAGGCAGCAGUGAGGAAUAUUGGACAAUGGAGGCAACUCUGAUCCAGCCAUGCCGCGUGCAGGAAGACUGCCCUAUGGGUUGUAAACUGCUUUUAUACAGGAAGAAUUGCAUCUACGUGUAGUUGCUUGACGGUACUGUACGAAUAAGGAUCGGCUAACUCCGUGCCAGCAGCCGCGGUAAUACGGAGGAUCCAAGCGUUAUCCGGAAUUAUUGGGUUUAAAGGGUCCGUAGGCGGUUUUUUAAGUCAGAGGUGAAAUCCUGCAGCUCAACUGUAGCAUUGCCUUUGAUACUGAAAGACUUGAGUUAUUGUGAAGUAGUUAGAAUGUGUAGUGUAGCGGUGAAAUGCAUAGAUAUUACACAGAAUACCGAUUGCGAAAGCAGAUUACUAACAAUACACUGACGCUCAUGGACGAAAGCGUGGGUAGCGAACAGGAUUAGAUACCCUGGUAGUCCACGCCGUAAACGAUGGAUACUAGCUGUUCGAUCAACAUUGGUUGAUUGAGUGGUUAAGCGAAAGUGAUAAGUAUCCCACCUGGGGAGUACGCUCGCAAGAGUGAAACUCAAAGGAAUUGACGG